rnacentral:piRNA from 2 species
GCUGUUCCAAAGGAUGGGAUGCAUGAGGU